rnacentral:tRNA from 1 species
GGGCGGUAGCUCAAUUGGUAGAGCGUCGCGUUCGCAAUGCGAAGGUAGUGGGUUCGACCCCCAUCCGCUCC